rnacentral:piRNA from 1 species
UCGAAUUUUAAAUGUGUUUUA